UUGACUCAAUUCAUUUCAACCAAAUAAAUUUUGGAUAAGUUAAUAUCUAUUUAUUAAUUCAGUUCUUUUUUUUAAAAUAAAAAUUAAGGAACGAAAGGUGGACAAGACAAACCCACAUUGGGAACCAAUAUUUCAAAAUUUUGAUGUUGGGUAUCGUCGACGUAGUAAUUAGGUGGCUUGUACGUAAGCAGCUUUAUCUUUGAACACUUGUUUUUUUCUCAGCAUUCCCUCCACAUGCAACUGGGGCCCAUAUACACACUAUCUGAGUAUAUCGCUUAAACUAAUAGAGACUAGUUUCCACUUAAAUACCAAUAUCAGAGUAGUAUUUUCUUGGCUUAACAAAUAUAUGCGCCCUCUAAAUUUGUCCUUUUUUUAUUUUUAUUUUGACAUUUCAAUUAAGUAUUGUUAUUACUAAGCCUCUAAACACAUUUUCAAGUGUAUCUAUUAAAUCUCCAAUUCUGAUUUUUAUUAGAAGCAAAAAUUAAAUUGGAAAAAUGAAGGUGGAGUAAUAUUUUAGACAUGUGAUAAGCUAUUCUUUAGGUCAUGAAUGUGUCGAUUUCUGCUAGUUUUGCUCUUACACUGGCAAUUUAAUUAAGAGCUACUCUUUUUUUUUCCCUCUCAAUUGUUGCUAAUCUUAGCUAAAAGAUAGCAUGAUUAAAUUAGAAUAUAUAUUAGCAUAUAUUAUAUAAGUCGAAUUGUGUUUGAUAUACACACUUGAGGAUGAGUUCAGGGAUUCGAUAGGAAUAGCAUAAUUGAGGUGUCAAAAUGGGGGAAAAAAAAGACAAGUUUAGGGCAGCAUAUGCAUUAAGCCUAUUUUCUUUGAGUUGCAUAUAAAGAACUCUUAGAACCAAAACUUAAAUAUGUGGAAAGCCUCAGUGAGAGGAAAGUUAGCAGCGGCGUUAUAUUAAUUUCUUCAUCAAUCUGAUGCAAGUUCAGAGUUACUUAAUACUCAUCAGAUCGAAGCAAAGGGUAACCAAACUAAUUGAGAACCUAAAUAUAUGCACAGACAGUCCACUUAUUUCAAGUAUCCACAGAGGAUUCUAAUUCACUAUAUAACUUGUUAGCAGUCAACUAAUCAAAUACCUCUUCCACCAGGAUUUCUGCAGAGAUCUCUUUUUCAGCUUCGACGUGGCUUUCAUAUCGUUGAAGGAUCCCUGUCAGACUGAAACAUACGAUGUCAGAUAUGAUUGUUGGUGAGCAAAUCAGUUUGUGUAUGUUUAAACUUGGAGUGCUUCAGAAAAUUCUCAACAUAUUUGAUGAUGGUCAAUCUCUUUGGGCAUUAGACACUAAACCAUCGAAUACCCUCUGCGUGAAUAACAAAAGGGAAGCCCUUUUAAUUAGUAAGGUAUAAGUUGUGGUGGGCGGGAUCCAAAACUAGGGUUCCUAAAAGCAUACCCUAUAUUAUAGACAAGUUUGAGAAAAGGGCAACCCCAAUAUACCACUAGACUACAUGUUAGCACAUCGACUGAAAAACCGUUGUUGCUUGCAGGGUCAAAAAUCUUUCUUUUGCUUUUCCUACCUGUCUCAAUUCUGAUUGACUGGUAUCUCCCUUUGAGCAAGCUCUUGGUUUGCAAUAGUUUGUAUUGUAUCUCACGCUUCAGUUUGCAUUUUCCGGAUAGCUGAGAUAAUGUUGAUUUUUUAUUUAAAUGUCAGCUAAUGUCAGCUCUUAUUUAUUCAUUCA